rnacentral:misc_RNA from 1 species
GAUGAAGAACGUAGCGAAAUGCGAUACGUAAUGUGAAUUGCAGAAUUCAGUGAAUCAUCGAAUCUUUGAACGCACAUUGCACUCUCUGGUAUUCCGGAGAGUAUGCUUGUUUGAGUAUCUGUAAACAUCUCAAAUCUCUCUUCAAUUGCUUCAAUUGGGUCGAGAGAAUUGGAUUUGAGCGAUCCCGACUCCUUCGUCAGAAAGAGGAGGGUCGCUUGAAAUGCAGGUGCAGCUGGACAUUCUUCUGAGCAAAAAGCAUAUCUAUUUAGUCCCGUCAAACGGAUUAUUACUUUUGCUUCAGCUAAUAUAAAGGUUGAAUGAACUACCAACGCUGAUUGCAGGAAAACAUGUUCGUUUAUUCGGACUUGUAAACUCGAUCUCAAAUCAAGUAAGACUACCCGCUGAACUUAAGCAUAUCAAUAAGCGAGGA